rnacentral:rRNA from 1 species
UACGUAGGGCGCAAGCGUUAUCCGGAAUUAUUGGGCGUAAAGAGCUCGUAGGCGGUUUGUCGCGUCUGCCGUGAAAGUCCGGGCUCAACUCCGGAUCUGCGGUGGGUACGGGCAGACUAGAGUGAUGUAGGGGAGACUGGAAUUCCUGGUGUAGCGGUGAAAUGCGCAGAUAUCAGGAGGAACACCGAUGGCGAAGGCAGGUCUCUGGGCAUUAACUGACGCUGAGGAGCGAAAGCAUGGGGAGCGAACGG